GGACUGUUGGUCUAGUGGUAUGAUUCUCGCUUAGGGUGCGAGAGGUCCCGUGUUCGAUCCACGGACAGUCCC
rnacentral:tRNA from 1 species